rnacentral:rRNA from 1 species
AACGCUAGCUACAGGCUUAACACAUGCAAGUCGAGGGGCAGCAUGAAUUUAGCUUGCUAAGUUUGAUGGCGACCGGCGCACGGGUGAGUAACGCGUAUCCAACCUUCCGUACACUCAGGAAUAGCCUUUCGAAAGAAAGAUUAAUACCUGAUGGUAUGAUGAGAUUGCAUGAAAUCAUCAUUAAAGAUUCAUCGGUGUACGAUGGGGAUGCGUUCCAUUAGAUAGUAGGCGGGGUAACGGCCCACCUAGUCGACGAUGGAUAGGGGUUCUGAGAGGAAGGUCCCCCACAUUGGAACUGAGACACGGUCCAAACUCCUACGGGAGGCAGCAGUGAGGAAUAUUGGUCAAUGGACGAGAGUCUGAACCAGCCAAGUAGCGUGAAGGAUGACUGCCCUAUGGGUUGUAAACUUCUUUUAUAAGGGAAUAAAGUGAGGGACGUGUCCCUUUUUGUAUGUACCUUAUGAAUAAGGAUCGGCUAACUCCGUGCCAGCAGCCGCGGUAAUACGGAGGAUCCAAGCGUUAUCCGGAUUUAUUGGGUUUAAAGGGAGCGUAGGUUGACAUAUAAGUCAGCUGUGAAAGUUUACGGCUCAACCGUGAAAUUGCAGUUGAUACUGUAUGUCUUGAGUGUACAAGAGGUGGGCGGAAUUCGUGGUGUAGCGGUGAAAUGCUUAGAUAUCACGAAGAACUCCGAUUG